AACAUUUCAAGCUUUUAUUGAGCUUCAUUCCUACUACUGUAUGCGUACAGCUCACAAGCAGCCCUCCCACAGAAGGGCAUGGCCUGCGGUCGAGGCCAGAUCACAGCUAGCUUUCUCAGCUGAAGCGGUCUCCUUCUCACUGCUGUCAGGUUUUCUCACGUCCCUGGAAGACCCUGAGCACGGAUCUCAACCGUUUCCCCUGCAACAUGUGAUUUUUAAGGAUACCCCAGCCCUGCUGGGACAGCCUAGAAAAGGAAGCCUUUGCCAUUCAGCCGGAAGAAGAAGUGAGAAGUAUCAAAAUAGAGCACACCUUUCAAGAUUAGAUUCAUGGCACUUCAAUGAAAUAUGCCUUUUCUCUGAUGCAAAUGAAACAAGGAAUGUGACCCCACUGUCCCUUGAACCGGCAGCUGAGGAUAUUCUCUGAAUGAGUGCUCCCUUCUUUGAACUAGCUCAAGUACGAGUCUUCCUGAGUCAAUACUGCUGGCGUACUAUCAACUUGUUGUAAACCCUCCUCACCUUUCUGAGGCUCCUGCACUGAAAAUUAGCCCCACUCCUCUUCCUCUGAAAUAACCUGAACAACAUCUCUUUUCCCAAGAAAAAUACAAGCACUGACAUGCCAUGAGUUAUCAUGACUGACGAAAGAAGAGUUUCAGUGUUCAAUUCCUUAAGCUUUUCCUCUUCUCUAGAACACUCUCCUACCAGGGCACAAUUCUCAGAACCCUAUUUACUUCAGAUCACAAUUUUGGCAACCAUUUUCCCAGAAACCCAGACUGUUAGCUAUAUCACAGAAUCCAUUCCUUCUUCUUCCCACCA
rnacentral:lncRNA from 1 species